UAUUAACAUCGAUCUCUAGGUUAUUGUGGCAUUAUUGUACGUCUCUUUUCUUCAAUAUAUAUCAAUAAUGGGUUGGACAAGAGAAGAGAAUAGGCGCUUUGAGGAUGCUCUUGCGGUGCAUGGGCCGGAGGACCCAAACCGGUGGCAGAAGGUGGCGAACGCCGUGGGUGGCAAAUCCGUUGAGGAGGUGAAGAGGCACUAUGAGGUGCUUAAAGAAGAUGUGAUUCGAAUAGAGCGUGAUCAAAUUCCACUUCCCAGGUACAGAGGUAGUGGUGGCAUCAAUGGAAGGCAUAUCUAUGGCCAAUAACCUUUACUAUCACCAUUCAUCAAAUUAGAAGGUGAAUAUAAAAUUAAGAGCUGUGGACUACAGUUUACUAUACGUUCUGCCUCACUAGAAAACAAAAGUAUCAGCAGUGUAUACAAGAUAACCGCUUAUUAUUUUCCAAUUUGUAUUCAUGUAAUAUAAUGUGUAUUUAUGUUUGUUUCCUGCUAUAUUGAUGAUUCACCCUCCUUGUAAUUUGUAACAAGUACAUGAAUAAAUUAUAUUAUUAUACUAUAACAUGC